AUUGAACGCUGGCGGCAGGCCUAACACAUGCAAGUCGAGCGGAUGAAGGGAGCUUGCUCCUGGAUUCAGCGGCGGACGGGUGAGUAAUGCCUAGGAAUCUGCCUGGUAGUGGGGGAUAACGUCCGGAAACGGGCGCUAAUACCGCAUACGUCCUGAUGGAGAAAGUGGGGGAUCUUCGGACCUCGCGCUAUCAGAUGAGCCUAGGUCGGAUUAGCUAGUUGGUGUGGUAAAGGCUUACCAAGGCGACGAUCCGUAACUGGUCUGAGAGGAUGAUCAGUCACACUGGAACUGAGACACGGUCCAGACUCCUACGGGAGGCAGCAGUGGGGAAUAUUGGACAAUGGGCGAAAGCCUGAUCCAGCAAUGCCGCGUGUGUGAAGAAGGUCUUCGGAUUGUAAAGCACUUUAAGUUGGGAGGAAGGGCAGUAAGUUAAUACCUUGCUGUCUUGACGUUACCAACAGAAUAAGCAACGGCUAACUUCGUG
rnacentral:rRNA from 1 species